GACGAACGCUGGCGGCGUGCUUAACACAUGCAAGUCGAGCGAGAAACCUUCGGGUUUCUAGCGGCGGACGGGUGAGUAACACGUGGGUAACCUGCCUCAAAGAGGGGGAUGGCCUUCCGAAAGGAAGAUUAAUACCGCAUAAUAUUUUAGCUUCGCAGGAAGUUGGAAUUAAAGGAGUAAUACGCUUUGAGAUGGACCCGCGGCGCAUUAGCUAGUUGGAGAGGUAACGGCUCACCAAGGCGACGAUGCGUAGCCGACCUGAGAGGGUGAUCGGCCACAUUGGAACUGAGACACGGUCCAGACUCCUACGGGAGGCAGCAGUGGGGAAUAUUGCACAAUGGGCGAAAGCCUGAUGCAGCAACGCCGCGUGAGUGAUGAAGGUCUUCGGAUUGUAAAGCUCUGUCUUUUGGGACGAUAAUGACGGUACCAAAGGAGGAAGCCACGGCUAACUACGUGCCAGCCGCCGCGGUAA
rnacentral:rRNA from 1 species